rnacentral:lncRNA from 1 species
UUUUAGGAAACAAAGGAUCGAGACGUGAAAUAGCUGCCCUCUCCCACCGCUGCCCGGCUCCCCAACCGCUAUAAAUACCUCCUCUCCCCGGCAACCACGCAUCGCCGUCCCACCUGCUUGCCUUCUCUUCUGUGUCCGCUUUCCCCUCUUCUUCUGUGCAAAACCCUAUCACUUGAUAUAGAGAUCUCUCGAUCGGGAGGCAAUGGAGGUCAUCCGAUCCAGCAUUCUCGUUGCCUUCUUCAUGGCUGUGGCCGCCGUGUUCUUCCUCGCCGGCGGAGCCGCCGGGGCCGACCCUCCCACCCCGGCUCCCGCCUCCACCGCCGGCGCGUUGACUCCUCCUUUCGCCGUCGCCGUCCUCGCCUCCUCCAUCGCGCUUCUCGUUGUAUCUCUCCGCCAUUGAGGGAUCUGCGGGUGCUGAGGUAGAUUCGUAGAUCUUUGCGCUCAUGAUCGAUCGAUGGUGUUCUUCAAGGUCUAGUACCUCGUAUAUGUGGUUCUUUGUAGAGUUUGGUUUUUUUUUUUGUUUUUAACAUCAUUGUUGGUUCGGGUCUGUAGAUGCCUUUUGUGCCUCUACAGGGUUAGAUCUGGACGUUAGGGUUUCCAUUGGGUAAUAAAGAUCAAUACAUGUGUGGGAGUGGGUCUAUGCGACAGUUUAUAGAUAUGUUACUUUUACUGCAUUAAUCGAUAUAGAUUGGUGUUAUUUUUGAAAUUUUGCUCUGAUUCUUGCUGGAUUUGAUUCUUGUGGUGAAUGAUCUGGUGCGCUUUAUGCAGCACUUUUGCUAUGGGAUGUUUAAUUUUACGUUUGGAUACUUAUUCCAUUUGGGGCCAAAUAGCUUUGAGGCGGUUGCGGAGUUCUAAUUUGAUCGGGUUGUUGUCAUAUGAUUAGCUUUUGGACGACCAAAAUCGUUGUUCUUUUAACUAUUAUUUUUUCGUUAAGCCAACUGUUUUCAUGCCGUAUUAGCAUUGGAUUGUUUGUUGAAUGGUGAGUCUCAUAUGAAAACUUAAUGGUUGUGGUCAAAGAAUGAUUGAUUGAUUUUGGUUUAUCACUGGGAAAUCGAAAUAUUAUGUGUGUUGAUACACCGCAAUGGGUCUAUGAUUUUGGUGUGCCUUAGAAAACUUAUAAUUCGUGAAAGUAAGUUUCAUCUUUCUUACAGUACGAUGGCUGUGAUUUUCCUGUUCAUUAAUUGCUUAAUUGUUUGUUCCUAUUUUCCAAACUAAAGCACCUUGAUCUAGCGGGGCGAAGUCAUGCCUUUUUUUGCGUUUGAAGUCAAGGUAUAUGCGCGUUAGGUAUAUGCGCGUUUAUAGUUCCCCGCGUACAAGUCAUUUGUGUUUAAUAGCUCCCCGUAUAUUUGCAAGCCUGGACAAUUAGCUCAGCUUCUAUCUUGUCAUUAUUGUAGCGUAGAAAUUUGAAAGGAAAAAUUGAGGAUCGCCCUCUCGGUCAUUUUGCAUCGAUCCUCUUGAUUCAAUUUUAUGGUCGAUUUAAUGAUUUGUCCUUCGUUUAUGCAUAUAUAUUUAAAACGUGUACGGCUGUGUACAUGAUUGCUUUGGCACUGGUUCGAUCUUUCUUUGCCUUUCGUUUUUGUUUUCUUUUUUUUCCCUGAUAAACCCCCUUUAAGUCUUUGAUGUCAGCUUGAAAAAAAGUAUUGGUUCGGUUUCUGUUCCCUUGUCUUGGAUGGCAGUCUGAAACAAAUAUCUUUUUGCAGUCAUGCGUGCCGCCUUCUGGCCUGGAACUGGUUCACCAGAUCCCAUGCUUACAAACUAUUUGUUUUUUUUUUUGAUUAACUGUUACAAACUAUUUGUUGGAAAUUGCUUUUGUUGUAGUGUGGCGGGAGAGUGCACAAAGGGUUGGACCAUUUGAUUGUUUGAUGCAGCAUCAACCACACACAUAUGGCCUUGAGAUGCAUGAGAUCCCUGGUGGAUCAAUUUUAAUCAGUUGUGCUCAUAGAUCCCAACUUCUCGAUGUGUAAUGUGUAAUUGACUGCAAUGGAUGAUCAGUUGGUUCAAUUAGUUCAGUGCUUAAAAGAUAUUCUCAUCGGUGAGCUUCAUGAACAAUCCAUGUGGUGAUCGAUGAUUUGGGCACAAUUAAAGCUAAAUGUGGAAAGAGGUCACCCAUUUAGAUAGGUAAUCAUGAUAGUGACCUGCAUUUCAGACGUUACCUUCGCGUUUGGGGUAGGGAUAUCAUUGCCUCUGACCGGUCAAUGCCGGAGCUUCUUUUCCACAGUAAAAUUUCGUGCACGCAGCAGCACCCCUAGAAAUAAGACCUAAAUCGACAUUGGAUUUAAAUUUACUCAUAAUUAACUUCUAUGGCCAAUAAAAGUAUCAAUAAACUAACUAUUUGGGGGACAACCUAAGUUUCGACUGAAAAUUUAUCUCAAGUACGACUCGGUUGGUUAGCAAACCAGCGGAGUUAAAAACAGAAUUUAGCCUGUUUAACUCGAAAUAUAAAUACAAAUAAAAUAAAUAUAUUAUAUAUAUUUUAAUUAUUAUUAUUGUUAUUUUAUUAUUAUUAUAAAAUACGUACAAUGUGAUAUAUUUCAGCUAU